rnacentral:rRNA from 1 species
UACAGAGGUCUCAAGCGUUGUUCGGAAUCACUGGGCGUAAAGGGUGCGUAGGCGGCGUGGAAAGUCAGAUGUGAAAUCCGGGGGCUCAACCUCCGAAUUGCAUCCGAUACUACCAUGCUAGAGAACUGGAGGGGAGUCUGGAAUUCUUGGUGUAGCAGUGAAAUGCAUAGAUAUCAAGAGGAACACCGGUGGCGAAGGCGGCAUCCUGGACCGACACUGACGCUGAGGAGCGAAAGCCAGGGGAGCAAACGGG